UACGGAGGGUGCAAGCGUUAUCCGGAUUCACUGGGUUUAAAGGGUGCGUAGGCGGGUAUGUAAGUCAGGGGUGAAAUCUCGAAGCUUAACUUCGAAACUGCCAUUGAUACUAUAUAUCUUGAAUAUUGUGGAGGUUUGCGGAAUAUGUCAUGUAGCGGUGAAAUGCUUAGAUAUGACAUAGAACACCUAUUGCGAAGGCAGCAGGCUACACAUAUAUUGACGCUGAGGCACGAAAGCGUGGGGAUCAAACAGG
rnacentral:rRNA from 1 species